AUUGAACGCUGGCGGCAUGCCUUACACAUGCAAGUCGAACGGUAACAGGUCUUCGGAUGCUGACGAGUGGCGAACGGGUGAGUAAUACAUCGGAACGUGCCUAGUAGUGGGGGAUAACUACUCGAAAGAGUGGCUAAUACCGCAUGAGAUCUACGGAUGAAAGCAGGGGAUCGCAAGACCUUGUGCUACUAGAGCGGCCGAUGGCAGAUUAGGGAGUUGGUGGGAUAAAAGCUUACCAAGCCGACGAUCUGUAGCUGGUCUGAGAGGACGAUCAGCGACACUGGGACUGAGACACGGCCCAGACUCCUACGGGAGGCAGCAGUGGGGAAUUUUGGACAAUGGGCGCAAGCCUGAUCCAGCAAUGCCGCGUGCAGGAUGAAGGCCUUCGGGUUGUAAACUGCUUUUGUACGGAACGAAAAGCCCUGGGUUAAUACCCUGGGGUCAUGACGGUACCGUAAGAAUAAGCACCGGCUAACUACGUGCCAGCAGCCGCAGUAA
rnacentral:rRNA from 1 species